UAGUGGCAUAUACCUGUAGAUUAUUCCAGUUUCUUUACUAUCAUUGAGCAUACCUUCUGUAGACUUAGUGGGUGAGCCGUUGAGGUCGGUAAUGGUACCCACUGAGGACUACUUCUUUUUGCAGUAGUUCUCACACCGAGUUGUGGACCCUUUUUGUACAACCUUCUUCUUCGGCUGCUGCCGUUGCGGAUACAGAUCGUGGAAAGGGAGUCACGAGUUAGAUCCCUUCCCGUGUUGCUGCUGAGUUAGAGACAUACCCGCUACAGGUAAUGUUAGUUUUUGGUUCUUAUACAUACUGUUGUUAGUAACUCGCUGGAACGAGUGUUUUUGUAUCAGGAUAUUAUGUAUAUAUGUUGAACCGAUGUUAUUUAUUUAUACUUUUCUUCUUAGCAGCUCUAUAUUACUGGUUGUAGUAUGAUUACAGAUACAGGUACAGCUAUCGCUUUGUAUAUAAGAAAAAUUUCUAACUAUACGGCGGGUCUGUUAGCGUGCCCGGAGAAACGAGUAAUCCGGAGCGUGACUCCGAAUCCGACCCGUUGAUAUCUCUAGCCUAGCAUACCACUUAUUUUUUAAAUUAUACUUAA
rnacentral:lncRNA from 1 species